UGCCAGACUCCUACGGGAGGCAGCAGUGAGGAAUAUUGGUCAAUGGGCGAGAGCCUGAACCAGCCAAGUCGCGUGAGGGAGUACUGCCCUAUGGGUUGUAAACCUCUUUUGUCGGGGAGCAAAAGCCGGACGUGUCCGGCUGUGAGAGUACCCGAAGAAAAAGCAUCGGCUAACUCCGUGCCAGCAGCCGCGGUAAUACGGAGGAUGCGAGCGUUAUCCGGAUUUAUUGGGUUUAAAGGGUGCGCAGGCGGAUUUUUAAGUCAGCGGUCAAAUCGUGGGGCUCAACCCCAUCCAGCCGUUGAAACUGGGGAUCUAGAGUGUGCGAGAGGUAUGCGGAAUGCGUGGUGUAGCGGUGAAAUGCAUAGAUAUCACGCAGAACCCCGAUUGCGAAGGCAGCCUACUAAACUGCCACUGACAUCGAUGCUCGAAAGUGUGGGUAUCAAACAGGAUUAGAUACCCCCGUAACA
rnacentral:rRNA from 1 species